UGGGGACAGUCUAUCUGGUUUCUCCAAACUGGUCUGAAGUGACAGUAAAGGCAAUAUGGCAGCGCGCAUGGUUCAAAAACUAACGUGAAGGUCUUUUUUCGGGUGUACGUGGACGCAUAUUUAUCCCACUAGCAGGCAAAGGGGACUGACAGACGUGUGGCACGCAAGACACAUAGACAAUGUCUAAGAUAUCUAAAGCAGCCAAGGCGGUGAAAAAGUUGGAUACUGGAGGUGUAAUCAGAGCAAUUGUAAGAUCUGGACAGGCAGCUCCUGGGCCUCCACUGGGCCCCAUCCUGGGACAGAAAGGAAUCCCCAUUGGGGCCUUCUGCAAAGACUUCAAUGAGAAAACCAAAGAGCUUAAAGAAGGCAUUCCUCUUCCCAUCAAGAUCAACGUGAAGUCGGACAGGACGUAUGACCUGAAAAUUGGGCAGCCCACUGUGUCUUACUUCUUGAAACAGGCCGCCGGCAUUGAAAAAGGAGCCGGAAAGACUGGACAUGAGAUCGCAGGUAUGGUGACGGUGAGGGCCGUAUAUGAGAUUGCACAGGUCAAAUCACAGGAUGACAGCUUUAAGCUACGAGACAUCUCUAUGCAGAACAUUGUCAAGAGCAUCAUCGGUUCAGCCAGAUCCCUCGGCAUCAAAGUCGUCAAUGAGUGAGAGUCCUUCAAACUUCAUUCUACUGCAUUCUUCACAACAUACAAUACAAUGUUUGGAUCGAGAACAUUAGCAAAGUCGUCAAAGCUACAGAAUAACAGAUAUAAAGCCUGUCACCAGAAGAGUACGGGGAGUUUCUCCGAGAGCGUGAGGAGAGACUGAAGGCAGAAGCCGAGGCAGCAGCCGCUGAGGCAGCAGCAGCAGUAAAGAAGAAAUGAAGAGCUGAUGUGUGCUCGAGUUGUUUAUCAAUACGAAACCCCUCUUCACAUGGAUGUGUUUUUUCUAAUAAAAUGCUGCUCAUUUGCA